GAUGAACGCUGGCGGCGUGCCUAAUACAUGCAAGUCGAGCGAACAGAUGAGGCGCUUGCUCCUCUGACGUUAGCGGCGGACGGGUGAGUAACACGUGGAUAACCUCCCUAUAAGACUGGGAUAACUUCGGGAAACCGGAGCUAAUACCGUAUAAUCUCUUGAACCGCAUGGUUCAAUAGUGAAAGACGGUUUUGCUGUCACUUAUAGAUGGAUCCCCGCCGCAUUAGCUAGUUGUUAAGGUAACGGCUUACCAAGGCAACGAUGCGUGGCCGAACUGAGAGGGUGGUAGGCGACACUGGAACUGAAACGCGGUCAAGGCUCCUAAGGGAGGCAGCAGAAGGGAAUCUGACGCAAUGGGCGGAAGCCUGACGGAGCAACGCCGAGUGAGUGAUGGAGGGCUUGGGAUCGUAAAAACCGGUUAUUAGGGAAGAACAAAUGUGUAAGUAACUAUGCACGUAUUGACGGUAACGAAUCAGAAAGCCACGGCUAACUACGUG
rnacentral:rRNA from 1 species